GACGAACGCUGGCGGUGUGCUUAACACAUGCAAGUCGAACGGUAAGGCCCUUUCGGGGGUACACGAGUGGCGAACGGGUGAGUAACACGUGAGUAACCUGCCCUCAUCUCUGGGAUAACAGUCGGAAACGGUUGCUAAUACUGGAUAUGAGCUUGCAAGGCAUCUUGUGGGUUGGAAAGAUUUUUUUGGUUGGGGAUGGACUCGCGGCCUAUCAGCUUGUUGGUGAGGUAGUGGCUCACCAAGGCUUCGACGGGUAGCCGGCCUGAGAGGGCGACCGGCCACAGUGGGACUGAGAUACGGCCCAAACUCCUACGGGAGGCAGCAGUGGGGAAUAUUGCACAAUGGACGGAAGUCUGAUGCAGCAACGCCGCGUGCGGGAUGACGGCCUUCGGGUUGUAAACCGCUUUCAAUUGUGACGAAGCUUUUUGUGACGGUAGCAGUAGAAGAAGCACCGGCUAACUACGUG
rnacentral:rRNA from 1 species